rnacentral:rRNA from 1 species
AACGAACGCUGGCGGCAUGACUAACACAUGCAAGUCGAACGAGACCUUCGGGUCUAGUGGCGCACGGGUGCGUAACGCGGGGGAACCUGCCCUUAGGUUCGGAAUAACUCCCCGAAAGGGGUGCUAAUACCGGAUAAUGUCUUCGGACCAAAGAUUUAUCGCCUUUGGAUGGGCCCGCGUUGGAUUAGCUAGUUGGUAGGGUAAAAGCCUACCAAGGCGACGAUCCAUAGCUGGUCUGAGAGGAUGAUCAGCCACACUGGGACUGAGACACGGCCCAGACUCCUACGGGAGGCAGAAGUGGGGAAUAUUGGACAAGGGGCGAAAGCCUGAUCCAGCAAUGCCGCGUGAGUGAUGAAGGCCUUAGGGUUGUAAAGCUCUUUUACCCGGGAUGAUAAUGACAGUACCGGGAGAAUAAGCUCCGGCUAACUCCGUG